rfam:Triticum aestivum genome assembly, contig: Triticum_aestivum_CS42_TGACv1_scaffold_406408_5BL
UGUAUACUCCCUCCGUCCGAAAAAACUGUCCCUCAAAUGGAUGUAUCUACCACAAAGUUAGUGCUAGAACAUCCAUUUGAGAAACAAGCUUGGGACAAGCUUUUUCGGACGGAGGGAGUAUUAU